GACGAACGCUGGCGGCGUGCUUAACACAUGCAAGUCGAACGGAAAGGCCCUGCUUUUAUGGGGUGCUCGAGUGGCGAACGGGUGAGUAACACGUGAGUAACCUGCCCUUGACUUUGGGAUAACUUCAGGAAACUGGGGCUAAUACCGGAUAGGAGCUCCUGCUGCAUGGUGGGGGUUGGAAAGUUUCGGCGGUUGGGGAUGGACUCGCGGCUUAUCAGCUUGUUGGUGGGGUAGUGGCUUACCAAGGCUUUGACGGGUAGCCGGCCUGAGAGGGUGGCCGGCCACAUUGGGACUGAGAUACGGCCCAGACUCCUACGGGAGGCAGCAGUGGGGAAUAUUGCACAAUGGGCGGAAGCCUGAUGCAGCAACGCCGCGUGCGGGAUGACGGCCUUCGGGUUGUAAACCGCUUUCGCCUGUGACGAAGCGUGAGUGACGGUAAUGGGUAAAGAAGCACCGGCUAACUACGUG
rnacentral:rRNA from 1 species